rnacentral:rRNA from 1 species
UGGGGAAUUUUGGACAAUGGGCGAAAGCCUGAUCCAGCAAUGCCGCGUGUGUGAAGAAGGCCUUCGGGUUGUAAAGCACUUUUGUCCGGAAAGAAAUCCUUGGCUCUAAUACAGUCGGGGGAUGACGGUACCGGAAGAAUAAGCACCGGCUAACUACGUGCCAGCAGCCGCGGUAAUACGUAGGGUGCAAGCGUUAAUCGGAAUUACUGGGCGUAAAGCGUGCGCAGGCGGUUUGCUAAGACCGAUGUGAAAUCCCCGGGCUCAACCUGGGAACUGCAUUGGUGACUGGCAGGCUAGAGUAUGGCAGAGGGGGGUAGAAUUCCACGUGUAGCAGUGAAAUGCGUAGAGAUGUGGAGGAAUACCGAUGGCGAAGGCAGCCCCCUGGGCCAAUACUGACGCUCAUGCACGAAAGCGUGGGGAGCAAAACAGGAUUAGAUACCCUGGUAGUCCACGCCCUAAACGAUGUCAACUAGUUGUUGGGGAUUCAUUUCCUUAGUAACGUAGCUAACGCGUGAAGUUGACCGCCUGGGGAGUACGGUCGCAAGAUUAAAACUUAAAUGAAUUGACGGGG